UGGGGAAUUUUGGACAAUGGGGGCAACCCUGAUCCAGCCAUGCCGCGUGAGUGAAGAAGGCCUUCGGGUUGUAAAGCUCUUUCGGCCGGGAAGAAAUCGCAUGGGUUAAUACCCUGUGCGGAUGACGGUACCGGCAUAAGAAGCACCGGCUAACUACGUGCCAGCAGCCGCGGUAAUACGUAGGGUGCGAGCGUUAAUCGGAAUUACUGGGCGUAAAGCGUGCGCAGGCGGUUUUGUAAGACAGGCGUGAAAUCCCCGGGCUCAACCUGGGAACUGCGCUUGUGACUGCAAGGCUAGAGUACGGCAGAGGGGGGUGGAAUUCCACGUGUAGCAGUGAAAUGCGUAGAGAUGUGGAGGAACACCAAUGGCGAAGGCAGCCCCCUGGGUCGAUACUGACGCUCAUGCACGAAAGCGUGGGUAGCAAACAGGAUUAGAUACCCUGGUAGUCCACGCCCUAAACGAUGUCAACUAGGUGUUGGGUGGGUAAAACCAUUUAGUACCGUAGCUAACGCGUGAAGUUGACCGCCUGGGGAGUACGGCCGCAAGGUU
rnacentral:rRNA from 1 species